GUCCAGCCCCGAUAGAAGCGGUAUCCUUUUUUCCCUUCUUUAGGGAAGAAAAGAUACAAGCGGAUAGCGGGACGAAAG
rnacentral:sRNA from 1 species